rnacentral:lncRNA from 1 species
GAACAAAAUCAUGUGUGUGGGAGAUACAACUUUUGGGUUUAGAACUUUCGUGAAAAUAACGUGGAGGUGAUCGUGGUGUGGUAGAUUAUGGACAUUGUUUGUUGAAAUUCUAAGGGAUUAAUCAUCGACUAGGUGAGUUUGACUUCUUAAUUUGUGUUCGUAAAUGCGUAUUGUGGUUUAUUUUUUUCUUAUGGGGUUUAGGAUUUUCGUUGCGCUGUGUUAGUUGUUUCUUG